ensembl:lncRNA
GUGAGGCAUAACCCAAUGGGGUGACUCAUAAUCCAAUGGGGUGAGCUGUAAGGCAAUGGGGUGAGGCAUAACCCAAUGGGGUGACCCAUAACCCAAUGGGGUGAGGCAUAAUCCAAUGGGGUGAGCUGUAAGGCAAUGGGGUGAGGCGUAAGGCAAUGGGGUGAACUGUAACCCAAUGGGGUGAGCCGUAAGGCAAUGGGGUGAGCCGUAAGGCAAUGGGGUGACCCAUAACCCAAUGGGGUGAGCCAUAAUGCAAUGGGGUGAACCAUAACCCAAUGGGGUGAGGCAUAACCCAAUGGGGUGAGCCAUAAGGCAAUGGGGUGAACCAUAAGGCAAUGCGGUGACCCAUAACCCAAUGGGGUGACCCAUAACCAAUAGGGUGACUCAUAACCCAACGGGGUGACCCAUAACUCAAUGAGAUGACGCUAACCCAUAACCCAAUGGGGUGACCCAUAACCAAUGGGGUGACGCUGACCCAUAACACCAUAUAGAAACCCCAUAGGGACCCACAGGGACCUAUAGAGCCCCCCUGAGGACCCAUAGGGACCUACAGAAUCACCACAGGGACCCAUAGGGACCCAUAGAGACCCAUAGAGACCCAUAGGGACCCAUAGAGACCCAUAGGGACCCAUAGGGACCCAUAGAG